rnacentral:snRNA from 1 species
UCCUCACUGCGAAUGUGAGAGGAAUUUUUGCGCGGGUACAGGUCGCCCCCGGGUGCCCCGCCUACUUCGCGGGAUGCCCGGGUGCGUGAUCUGCCCG